rnacentral:misc_RNA from 1 species
CAUUCUCCACGAACUCCACCCCGACAGAUACGGAUACACACACACACACACAAAGAGAAGCAUGGAGGCCGUGGUGAAGCUCAAUCGCAAGCUUGGGGUGGGCGGCCGCGGCGUUGUUUACGAGGGCUUCGAUCACGCCAGAGGGCACUUCGUCGCCAUCAAGGAACUUGCCUACAUGGAACCCAGCGUCGCUGACGAAGACGACACGGAGCUGGCUGCCAUUUUGAGUGAGCUCGCAUAUAUGCGCGAGGCACAACACACCAACCUCGUCGAGUAUUACGGCGCCCGCCGCUGCGCCAUCGGCAUUCAGAUUAUAAUGGAGUACGUAAGUGGCGGCUCGCUAGACUACGUGUUGACGCGCUGCGGCCCUUUGCGCGAGAACGUCGCCCGUGCGUAUACCCGCGAUGUCCUCGAGGCACUGCACUACCUGCACAAGACCAUGCACGUGUGCCACCGUGACGUGAAGCCGGCAAACAUCCUCAUCACGCCGGAUGGGCGGUGCAAGUUGGCCGACUUCGGGGUCGCAAAGCAGGUCGACGCGACGACGCCGACGCGCCCAGCGCAUGCAGAACGUGGCGGAAAAGGUAUGGGAAAGGAGGAAGAGGGCAACUCCCCGCGCCACCGCAACGGCGGGCGUCAAGGCUACCUGCAGACAGCGGUGGGAACGCCGUGGUACAUGGCGCCAGAGGUGAUCAACGGCGGCGUCGAGGACGACGACGAUGGCGAUGAAGAUUUGGAGCUUGGCAACGCGUGCGCAGUCGCCAUCGACGGCGACGCAAACAGCGGCAGCUUCAGCGAGGACUGGACCAGCAGCGGCCUGGCGCACACGGUACCUGACGCAUCCGCCUCGCCACCGCCGCUGUACUCGUCAUCGAGCUACUACAAUCCACUCAAGAGCAUUGUCAAGAAGGGCCGUCUUGGUGCUCGCUCGGUCGGCUAUACCACCAGCGCCGACAUCUGGAGUGUUGGCGUCACCGUGUACGAGAUGGUCACCGGCACGAAACCCUUCGGCGCCGACCUGACCAACCCGUCUGCGGUGCUCUUCCGCAUCGCGAACUGCGCCGCAUCUCCGCCGCAGCUGCCGGCGGACGUGCACGUCUCGGCGGAGCUGCACAGCUUCUUGGACUUGUGCUUUGUGUACGACAAGGACCUCCGCGCGACGGCGGCGGAGCUCUUGGGUCACCCAUGGCUGGGGCCUGUUCGCAAGGGGGGCGGCAGCGGCGGUGACAACGCCAGUGCAGAUGAGAAGCCACGUCGCCAGCUCUUCAACGGAAAGCGUCACUCUCGAUCUGGCAUGCGCGUGGACGAGGGCGAACAAGUGCAGCGCCAUCAGCAGCUAGCGGCCCAACGCACCGUCUUCGACGGCGUCCCCCUCCUCGACUCCAUCGACCUUCCAGCCUACCCCGCAACGACGGCGGUCUCGUCUCCGCCUUCCUCUGCGGUAGCGGAAUGUGGCGGCAGCGGAGAGGGAGCCCAUCCUGCCCCUGACACCUCACCAAGGCGUGCGCGGCACAGCGUGCACCGUCUGUCGUGCAGCGGGACCCAUUGCAGCGGCUGCAGCGUUACUCGCCGCUCACCCUCAACCAUUUCGCCGCCGCUAUCAUCCGUUUCUAUCGCGGAGCAGGCGGAGGCGUCUUCGCGGUACGCGGCGGUGCGGCAGCGCAUUGGACAUACCCGCGCAACCAACUCCGCGCACACCGCGGCCUCAGCGGCCCCACUGGCCGCGCAAUCAAAUCCCGGUUCUCUCUUCUCCACGCGCGGCGAGUUCGUCGAUUUUAUGUCGCACCCUUGAUGAGGCGGAGGGGGGCCUGCAGCCGCCGAAACUGUUUUUGCUUCCAUAUCAGGAGCCACAGCUGUGUGUGCGUGUGUAUAUAUACGCCUGUUCUUCGAGCCGCCCACCCCUCCUCCCCCUGCUGAAGACGGCCGCUGGCACCUCUCCUCGUCUCUCCUCUCACCGCUGUACAUCUAUUUCUUGCCCUCACUUCUCGGUCGCCGCUUCGGUGAUUGUGUGUGUGUGUGUGUGUGUGUACAUGUGCAAAGUCGGGUGUGUGUGCCCUGCUUGGACCGUCUGCAGUUCUCUCCCGCUCUGUGGCCGUGGCUGUCGGGUGUGCGGGCCAUGUUUGCGUCCCCGCUUUCAUGCACUUGGACGCAUGCCCAUACGUGUCCUUGG